rnacentral:ncRNA from 1 species
CCCGCCGAGGGGCGCUGCGACCGUGGACCGGGCGGGACUUCCGCCGGAACCCGCACCGAGGUGCGGAGCUUUCCGAUCCACGGCCAGGCUCGGCAUGGCACACCCUAGCGACAACGGCGCCCGGCGAAA